AGCAAAAGCAGCAAGGAGAUGAACCACUGUUGACGGCUGAGAAGUCUCGGACAGGAGGCAAAGAAUUAAAGUGGAGAUUCUGGACUGCGCAACCCAAUCCAGCUCUCUCUGCCACCGAGUUGCAAUCGAAUUUCAAUGGAUCACCUGCUGCUUCUGUUAAUGUUUUUCAGGGUACAAACGUUUUGCUUUUUGUGCCCAACAUAUCAUGCCAUAUCAUGCUUUCUUACCUAUUGUGUUCACCUGUGAAACUAUGAUUAGUUUGUCUAU